UUUCCCAACCAAUCCAGUGGAAAAUAUAGCUGUAGUUAGGAUUUGGAAUUUCACUAUGAUAAAUCCCCCUCUGUUUUUGGGAUCCAAGUCUGAGAGGGAUCCAUAGAAGCCUUUGGACAUGGUGUAGAAAGUGACAGAUAUCAUGGGCAUCACUUCGAGUGAGAGUGUAGAGUUGGCUGCAUACCAGUCUGAGGAUGUAGCUUAC
rnacentral:lncRNA from 1 species